GAUGAACGCUGGCGGCGUGCCUAAUACAUGCAAGUCGAGCGAACAGACCAGGAGCUUGCUCCUCUGACGUUAGCGGCGGACGGGUGAGUAACACGUGGAUAACCUACCUAUAAGACUGGGAUAACUUCGGGAAACCGGAGCUAAUACCGGAUAAUAUAUUGAACCGCAUGGUUCAAUAGUGAAAGACGGUUUUGCUGUCACUUAUAGAUGGAUCCGCGCCGCAUUAGCUAGUUGGUAAGGUAACGGCUUACCAAGGCAACGAUGCGUAGCCGACCUGAGAGGGUGAUCGGCCACACUGGAACUGAGACACGGUCCAGACUCCUACGGGAGGCAGCAGUAGGGAAUCUUCCGCAAUGGGCGAGAGCCUGACGGAGCAACGCCGCGUGAGUGAUGAAGGUCUUCGGAUCGUAAAACUCUGUUAUUAGGGAAGAACAAAUGUGUAAGUAACUGUGCACGUCCUGACGGUACCUAAUCAGAAAGCCACGGCUAACUACGUG
rnacentral:rRNA from 1 species